rnacentral:rRNA from 1 species
AGAACGAACGCUGGCGGCAUGCCUAAUACAUGCAAGUCGAACGAACACUUCGGUGUUAGUGGCGCACGGGUGCGUAACGCGUGGGAAUCUGCCCUUGGGUUCGGAAUAACAGUUGGAAACGACUGCUAAUACCGGAUGAUACCGAAAGAUCAAAGAUUUAUCGCCCAGGGAUGAGCCCGCGUAGGUAUUAGCUA